GGAUGAACGCUAGCUACAGGCUUAACACAUGCAAGUCGAGGGGCAGCAUUUCAGUUUGCUUGCAAACUGGAGAUGGCGACCGGCGCACGGGUGAGUAACACGUAUCCAACCUGCCGAUAACUCGGGGAUAGCCUUUCGAAAGAAAGAUUAAUAACCGAUGGUAUAAUCAGACCGCAUGGUCUUGUUAUUAAAGAAUUUCGGUUAUCGAUGGGGAUGCGUUCCAUUAGGCAGUUGGUGAGGUAACGGCUCACCAAACCUUCGAUGGAUAGGGGUUCUGAGAGGAAGGUCCCCCACAUUGGAACUGAGACACGGUCCAAACUCCUACGGGAGGCAGCAGUGAGGAAUAUUGGUCAAUGGGCGCAGGCCUGAACCAGCCAAGUAGCGUGAAGGAUGACUGCCCUAUGGGUUGUGACUUCUUUUAUAUGGGAAUAAAGUUUCCACGUGUGG
rnacentral:rRNA from 1 species